GCAUGAAUUUCAAAGGAAUGAAAUGCAUUAUAGGUAGUUUGAAGAUAAAUAAGAAAUUUACUACCAACUUGUAAGUGCAUUUGCUUGAAAAGAAGAUUGAUUCUUUUGGCAUGUGAUACAUGUGCCCAUUUGCAUAAAUAAUUUGCCUAUUGCUUAAUGAUUUGAAAAUUUGCUCAUUUGAUUAUGUGAUUUUGGUAUCAGAGUAGAAAAUUUAUUUUUGUUAUC
rnacentral:lncRNA from 1 species